CAGGAUCCCACCCACAGAACCCCCAGGUGCACAGCUGCAUAUCCUCAGGGGAAAACUCCCCUCCCCUGCCACCUUACUGAUAGUCUUCACUUCCCUGAGAACUUUCCCAAUCCUGUGCAAUGCCUGAGUGGUACAUUGUAUUCUAUGAGAAUGGCGCCCCCGCCUCCAGAGUUGUGCAACAAGACUUCCAUGAAUCAAAGCCCAUCGCUGGCUGCCUCCUCUAGCCCUGCAUAGCCCAGGUACAUCUGAAAGGAGUGAGAAGUGUUUUGAGGGCUCUCCCUGUCUCUUCCUGCACCUCUCUCUUGUGAUCCCAG
rnacentral:lncRNA from 1 species